AUCAUGUUCCAGCACAUUAUGUGAGUAUUGAAUCAAAGAAGUUAGGUUGUUCUCCGGGACUAGCUCUCUCCUAAAGGUCAAAAC
rfam:Tupaia belangeri cont1.162169, whole genome shotgun sequence.